CUCUUCCUGUUGGUGUCUUUAGGCAGGUUCUAAAUACUGUGCAUCAAAUACAAGUAGUGUGGUGAGAUGUCUGUGAGCCAGGCUAAGCCUUCCAGUCAGCUGCACACAUCUUCCAGAGCUCGAUUGAGUUGUCUGAUGCAAGUGCUCCAUGUCAGCGGAUCAUUUGUACAGGAGGGGCUUUAACAUCUUUGGAGUACACUAAUCCAUGAAUAAACGUAUGGGUUAACUUUUGCAACAAGAUUAGUUUUUCCUUUGAAAAUACAAGAAGUCUUUUGACAAAGUAAGAGAGCUUUUGGCUACAGCCAGGUAAUACUGCAUAGACACUUCAGCUCUGAUGUCUUUAAAGGGCUGUGUGUGUUCUGACUGAUAUUCUGUCUGUGGUGAAUUGCAGUGAAUUAAAGUAGUCCUAAGGUUUUUUUGAAACUAGUUUUUAUCCUGCUGCACUUGCCCACAACUUACCUAUUGCUCUGUUGUGAUUGGUGUUUUGAGGAGAUGAAAGCUGUGCACUGAGUAUUUUGCACCCAGACAUGGUGGCUUGCUCCCUGGCUGCAUGAUAGAGGAUGAGUUCUUAUCUGCCAGCUUUUGAAAGGUUACUGAGCUUCCAUCAGGAACGCUUUUGAAAGAAAGCAGUGACUUGGGAUGUUGGGAUGUACAGACAUACAUACCAAGGAGCUACCUAAAAAAGUUAGGUUAGACUAACUGGGGGAAUUUCCAGACAGGCAAGAGGCAAAUUUAGCCUUAUUUAUAGAGUCACUUAAAUAAUUUAUAUUCUUGUGUAUAGAAAUUCCAUCCUUAAAGCACUGGGUAACCAGUUGCUUAAGUUUGUUGGUGGAGCAGUAACAAUGGCAUCUUAAAACUAUUUUGUUAUAAAAAAUUUAUAUGGGUAGGCAAAAGGCUUUUUCUCCUCCAAAUAAGCUUUAUUUUAAGUACUUCCAUAAAAAGCUAAAGGAAUAUAACCCAGUUUAGAUAAUCUGCACAGUUUCUAUGCAAUAAUCUUUCCAUUCAUAUGAUGAGUACCCAAAACUGGCUACUAGGAGUUUUAGUGCCUUCAGAAAGAGGACUGUGUGAAACAAAAUUCUUGCAACUUAUAAAAACAGAUCUUCCUUGGGGUGAGAGAAGAGAGCAGACCAUUGGGAAGAAUCAGACCCUGAAUUUUAUCAGUGCCUAAUAGUAUACAAAAGUCUAUUUCUAGUCAAACCCUUUUUCAGGGCUUUUCCAGUUUAAAAAUGUAGUUGUUAACUAGUUGAAACUUUCUUGUCUCAUUUGAAACAACUUAUGAGGUUGGGUCAGAUCUCUUAAGUUAUAGUUGAUGCCCUCAGACCUGGAACGGUCAUGGAUUAUUUUUCCACUUAGUUAAAUUAACAUUUAGUGAUUAAAGCUCUUAAAAAAACCCAAACGCAAGCAAACAACCCUACAACAAACCCAAGGCCAUAAAGAAGGAAAGCCAGCGUGGCCAUGCCUACAGCACCCUGCAGACUGGGCAUCUUUUCCUUCUGCAACUUGGAAGGGCAGAGGAAUUGCAGUAGUGGUCAGGUGGUAGCUGGGCAGGUUUGGGAGCACCCCACUAAUGCAGCAGUUCAGGAACAGCCGAAUCAUUUUUCAUUAAACGUGAGUUACUGGCAAGGAUAGCUCUAGUCCAGCAUGAGGUUUGGGGACUCUUGCCAAAGUUUGCUGUGUACUGCUCCAGGAAGAGGAAAAGAACUGAAUUCUUUUUGCUUUCCAUUUUUGCUGGUGUGGCCACUUUUCAGGUAUUUGAUAAAUCUGUUUGUGCUCCAGUCAGCGCUCUCUUACCACCUUGGAAGUGUCCUUCAUGGAGUGUCAGGAAGGUCAGAGUUGGAGGGGCUGUGUUGAGGUGUUCAUUGAACUCUGCUGGGAGUCCAGAGAUCUUGUACAGUGCUAAAAAUUAAGCCAGGAGAAUGCUAACGCACUGGCAUUCCUGAGGAUUGCAAGUCAUGUUCAAGAGGGUCGAAAACUAGAGGGAGUGUAUGUCAUAAAAGGAUCCUUUGAUAGCCAGAUAGCUGACCUGUACGCUCAUAAUAAAGCGUGAUCAUGCUUACUACGUUGUGUUUACUCCAGGAAGUUGAGCAGCCACCUUUAUUCUCGUUUCCAAACAGUUCUAGAUUCAACUUAAAAGUUUUGGUGGACACAACUUUAAAGACAACUCUUAUUCAUAAGCAUUUCUGUCAGAUUUGUUUUUCUGCCCCACCAAUUUUUUUUUCAGCUAUUAUUUAGGGGUUCACUACAAAACCCCUACUGAUGAUCAGUCUUUAUGCCAUAUGUGUUGUUUUGAAUUUUUGUAGCUUUGAUUUUUUGAAUUACUGUACCUUUGCAGGAUGCUAAUACAUUGCAUUACAUCUAAUAAGCAGUCUGUAGGCUUUUUGGUAGAGUAUUGCACGUAGGAGAGGCAAAACUAAAUUUCAGAUUGCAAACACAUAACAGUGUUUCCCAGUUAAUUUGCCAGCAGGAUUUCUCAGUUACUUUUCGUUCAGAUUCAAACCAAUGUUCAACCAUCAGCACUGUUACAAUGAGGUUACUCUCUUUGAGCAAUUCUUGCUGCUCUGAUACUAGUAGACAUUGAAUUUAAGGUUCCUGAGAAAUGAGGAUGCUUAAAGCCUUAACAGUGGCUUCUCUCUUCAACUCUUCCAUUAGCUGUACACCUCUACUUGUCUUCUUUUGCAGAGAUAGAGAAAAGUGUUCCCUGCAGUGUCUCGGAUCUGUACAGCCAGCAAGCUGCAGGUGCAAAGGCCAGUUGCAAGGUUUGAGAUUUUUUUGAGUGGACCUUGCUGUUUUUAAAAUGACUUUUUGAUGUGGUAUGUAAAGGUAAAAAUACUGCAGGAUUCUUCAAAUUUCUUUGAUAUUAUUCCUUAUACACGAAGUAUGAGAUCUUGAACUCAUUUUCUAGAUUUCUAUCAUUUCUAGAUGAUAGAUGUUGCACAGCAAUGUAGGCAUACUCUUAUGAGCUAAUUUGCAUUAAAUUUGCCCAUUUUAUGCAAAUAAACAUUCAUUAUUUCUCAUGUCUGCAAAGCAUUAGAAUAUGCAUUUUCUUUAAUGUUUCUAGUAGACAUUAAAUCUUUUCCAUGUUUCUCUAACGGCUGUUCAUAAUAAAUAAAUGUGCUUUUUUCCCCUCUCCUUUUUCGUUUGACUGACUCUUGGUUGUACAGUUUUAGCCUUUUCUUUCAUGUCAGAUAGAUGUUUUCAGCUGCAUGCCUUAGCAAUGGGUUCAGAAAGGUGUGCAGUGUAGCAUGUAAAAUCCAAAGGUCACAAAUUAAAUCUAUUUCACUGGGCCAAAGUGGGGUCCUUGCAGUGAAGGCUGCACCAUCCCCACUGCGGGAGGCUGUGCGACCAGAGAGGCAGCUCUGCCAAUGUAGGUCAUCUUUCUUCUUCCAUUGAAAAUAGCUUCAAAAAUCCUUUUAGCAACUGAGCUGAGGUUUAAAAUAGAAGCAGCUAAAGAACAUCAAAUGUGUGGUUGCAUCAGUAGAAGUUGCUGAAAUGAGAUAUAAAUGUGCAAGAAUUUGAGUAACUCAGUGAUUUUUCUGAGAUGAGAUGUGUGCAGUGUGGAUUGGCAGCAUGUUUGUGUUUAUACACACGGAAGAAAACCAGUGCAGUUGUCCAGCUCUUAAUUGCUGUGAUUAGCUCCACCCCCCCCUUCACUGAGGAAUAAGUAAUAACGGAAAUUUGAAUUAAGACAUAAAUAAAAAAACAGUGUUCUUUUGUUAUAGCAGAAAGUCUAGAGUCUAGCAUAGGGGGUUCAGAGUUCAAUUCUGCAGUGGGAAUCGUCAUCCUUCUCAGAAGCAACACUUGAAAUGUUUAUUCCUUUACCUUCAGGAAUUUUCACUCGUUUAAACUUUUUAUAAUAAUUCUGUGUUUUCUGUUCUCUAGUUAUAUAAAGACCAUAUAUUUGAAUUCUUGAGACUGAGGUGUGAUAACCUGGCUUUCUAUGAAGAUUUUUUUUUUGCAAGGUAGAGGUUUUUGGCAGUCUGAAGAAAAUUGGUCUUCUGAGCAUAAAGAUUUCGUACUGAAUUAGGCUUCUUUCAGUGCCGUUUUUAUGAGAGUGAAGAGUUGAAGUGAAUUAACUUGGAAAGUUUUCUACUUUGUACUUCUACAGAAUGACGGAUCUGUGGAAAAAGGGGACAUCAGACAUUUAGGAAAAUAGUUGUACAUUAGACUAGUUAGCCAGUCAUCUUCACUAAUGGAGUUUAUCCUCCCUUCUGAAGGUCUCUUAGCAGUGAAGUUUUUCUCAGAGGUCUGUAACUUGAGUUGGAACAAAUAUUUUGUGAAUGCACAUAGGUCCUUGGGAGCAAAAUUGAGGUCACUCUCACAGUGGGAGGCUCUUCCCAUUACUUUGAAAGUGGCAGCAAUACUUAAAUACGCAAAAUAAUGAGAAUAGUUUCCAGCCCUUCUGGCUUAUUGUCCAUAGGCUCCAACUCCAUUCUGUGGGGAUCUGCUGGUGUGUAGGGUGUGCUCCAGAGAGCUGCAGGUGGGGAGCUCCAGAGACCUCCCAGGGGAGGACAGUGACAGAGACCUGGGGUCCUCCCACUCCUGUUGUGACACUUUGUUCAUCCUGAUGCACACCUGUCUGGCACAAAGUGGACUUCGAGUAACUCUCAGGAAACUCUCAAUUUGUGAUUGAACCCUUCCCUGAUCCGCCAAGGUAGAAAUGCAGUUAACUGAAGCAUCUGCCGGUUCUGUUGGUGGUGUCACUGAAGGGACUGCUGUGAAAGCAGCGUGCAUUGACCUGUGAAAUGUGUACUCUGUAAGAAUCCCUGUCUAUUAAAAUGCAGACACAACAGUAGUUUCUAAACUGAGUAAAACCAUACUUCAGAGUAUUUCUGGAACACUUUUCAUAUCUUAAACCACCUAUUUCCUUUCGAAGAGAAUGCAGUGAGCAGCAAUGUUUAUUGAUCUUCGACACCCAGCCAUUUUCUCCCAUGAAUAGACUUGUUUCUCCCUGCUUCUGAGUCUUCCCAUUUUAGUUUUUAAGGUGCACGCAGAUGUAUACUUUAGCCACUGGAAUAAAGCCUCUACAACUGAUAUAUAUUCUGCCCUUGCUAACACCAUACAUGUGUGUGGAUUAACCAGAAUUAAAGUUACAACUCAGAGAACACACUUGCUGUACCAAGUUUAGCAGGAAAAGAAACUGAAGAUAGUGUGCCUGAAACGGUGUAAAGUACACAAACAGGCUUACUAGAGUUGAUAAAAGAACCAUAUUCUCCUAAUAUUCUUUGUUUAGUACAAUAUGUUAAUUCUGGGUUAUUCCAUAUAGUCAUACAAGUCCUUCCUUCCUGCUGGUCGUAUUGGGGAGCUUCAUACAGACGUGAAGUAAACAGAGACCUGUUUAUCUGAAGAAAUUUCAACAGUCAAAUAUUGGAAUUUUUAUUAAAUUUAGGAAAUGGUUUUAUUUUUUUCCUGUUUUCUCAUCUGAACUCUUCCAUUUCCUAUCAUCCUUUAUGGGUUAGUAUCUGGUGGUAGGUAGUUUUACAGACAUUUGAGUUUGUCAGUGCAAGGAACAGUCCUUUCUAAUGCAGGUGUUUCUCUGCUAGUGCUGUCGUCUGCGUUGGGGAACUCCUCUAGGAUCACAACAACACUCUGGUUUCUGGUUUGGCUGCAGUGCAGGUUUUGUGUAGAGUUGGGAGUAAGACCCGGGGAAGGACCAGGAUGCUGCUUUUUGUGUGCUCUAGGUGGAUGCUGUAGGAGAAUGAACCAUACAAGAAGGUUGAGUGUGGUGGAUCCCAUCAUUUGCAGUGUGACUUUCCAAAUGGGAAACACUUCUGCUAGUCUGAUUUUACUGGGAGUGUGUUGGUUACAUCUCCUUGAUGUUGCAUGUAGCCAUGAUUCCAUGUCAGGCAGGCAGCCAUUCCGAGGCAGAACGAGUAGCUACAUCAAAGGAACCAUAAAGAAGUUUCCAGGAAUUGAGUAGGAAGGCCAAGACAGUGAAGUAGGUGAAAUGGUUUCAGGUGUCCAGCUUAAGGUGCACGCAGGUAAUAGUGGACUGUUCCUCAGCUGAGGACAACCGCUGAGGAGUUAUUUGUAGGUUUUCCUUUCAGUUAAAAAAUAAAAUAAUCUGGUGAUAAUGCCUGUGUACAAGGCUAGAAGAAAGGAGUGAUGCAUGUGGGAUGCAGAGAGCGGCUGCUGUUUCUGGCAGCUGUAGCAAGUGACACAGAUGUGUGGGUGAACGGGGGAAUUCCAUCCAGAGACGGGAAGGAUGUGGCAUCUCUUGUGCAUUACAGGAUCUUGUUGAAGGACUUAGACUGCUCUGUGUAAAUGUGUUAUGGAGUCAGCUGGCAGGCAGCAUGCUGGAGGAGCUUGCUGUUUGACUUCAGUCUCCCUGUAAUAUCUCUAAAGAAUACAUUUGGACUGUGCUCCUGGAAUGAGUCAUCUUGCUUUUCUAAAAGUGCCCAUCACAGACCAGUAGAGUUUAUUAGAGUGCUUCUACUUCUGAGGUGUGCAUGUCAGGCAGGUAAAGUCAUCUCAGAUUUUUGAGGCAAAAUGCAUGUGAAUUCUGAAAACCCUGAAUUGCAGUAUAAGAUUCCAGGAGAAUUUUUCAUGGGCACUCAAAGGACCACUUGCAGUCAUGCCAAAGUUGCAUUAAAAGAAAUCUCAUGUAGUCAGAUGAUGUAGUCUGGAUCUUCUGUGUUUGUAGGUCUUAAAUUUUUCUAAAUAUGAUAACUGGUGACAAGAUAGGAGCAGUAUUUGGAUAGGGAGAAGAAAGCCUCAUAACGUUGAUGGUGGUUUUUAAAAAAAGUAACACAAGCUUGUUUUUUUUGUUACUAGAAUGCUUCCAGUGUGCUGUAUCUUUCCAUUUUCAUCUCUUCCUCUCAGCUCAGUUAGUCCCAUUAGGAGUGCACCCUUUGGAGUAAGGAUACAGGGUAAAACUGCUCUGCAAGUGUAUGGUGAAAAUCACAGCAGCAAUGGAACAGCUUUUUCCUAGCAUGAAAUACAAAUCCAAAGUAAUAAAUUGCUUGUAGGCUGAGUAACCAGGAGUGGAGUAGCAAGUACUAACACUAAAUGAUAUCUGUGCUGUCUUCGGUGGGUGUUUCAGGUUGAGCUUCUACAAGCUUGGAAUGCAAAGAAGUUGUGUGUUUUACAUAUUUUUAACCAUCAUAUAUUUCUUACAAAGCCUCUAGUAAUGUGUAAAUUAAUGCAAGACAGACCACAAGGAUGUUUUGUGUAACUUAAUGCAUAUUUUUCAGAUACUGAGCUGGAUCUGACCAUAAAGACUGUGAACUUUGCUCUUCAUGUAACAGAAAUGUGGGGGUACAUAGUUCACAUUGAUUCUCCAUUGUCAGUUAGUGUGUUGGUAGGUAAGAAUUAAACGAUGAUGCCUGAAUUGAUGAAUCCUCUGGGCACUGAGGGUCUGCUGUGUAUAAAUUUGUAAGAGGACCCCCAGGAGGAAGUGUGGGAUUAGCAAAGCCAGGUGGAUCUUAAGCAAAGAUAGACUUCUUUUUGAUGCACAGAGCCUCUGCUUGUGUUAGCAAAAAUUCUUCUCUGUUCCAAACUGAGACCACAAAAUCUUUAGUGAGGAAAAAAAACCCACAAUCAGACUUUAAUACCAAGAGCCUGGGAAUGAUUGUAGUUACUUAGAGAGAUAGGAUUGCUUGAUGAAAAUUGAGAUGUAAUGCAUGAUUAAAUGUUCAUUUGGUUGUUACACUCAUGGUUCAGUCCUGUCAUUACAACAUUUCAGCCACUGCAGGUGUCUUACUGCUGCCUGGAAGAUGACAGAAUGAAAGGUGAAGCAAAAGCCUAUAGUGUGUAGAAUGCCUUUCUUUUUGUCAGUUAGUUCUCUAAAUCAAAAAAGCUAUUUUAGAAACUAUAGUUGACUAACAGCAAUCAAAAAUUAGGCUCUGAAAAAGUUAAAACUCAUUGUUAUUUGAUAUCUUCAGUACACAAAUGCCUGGACCCUUUUAUUUACUAAUGAUGUUUUAGCUUCCGUUCUCAUCUCUCAAAAUAACCCUGAAGAACAUUCCAGAUGCCGUAUGAAUUGAGCUGGUAAGUUACGUGUCUGUACCUGUGGAGAAGUUUGCUGGCUUUCCUGAAGGGAUCUCAGGAAGGAUUCCUUCCACUUCAUUUAUGCCAUCUGGUGUUACAGCCUCUGCACACACGCACACGGAUUCUAAAGCUGUGUCCUAGUGUCAAGUGAACUGGAGCCUGGAUAUGCUUUUAAAUUUACAAAAAUCUUGCAAAAUUACUGUUUCCCUUAGGGUGACUCCCAGCCUGUGGCAGUGCUGUGGGUCGUGGCCUGCAGGGCAGAGCUGCUCUUCAUCUCCUGACUGAUGCAGCUGCCAGAUGAUGUCUGGCAGAAUAGUAAACAGGUGGAAAGGGAUUACUAGAGCACAAAUAUCAAUCACAUCCUGGGUUCUUGUGCUGGGUACCAUGCUCUUAUACUUGCUGGAAUAAUACCUGGUAUAAGCAAGCUAUACUCCACUACUUAAAUCAAGCUUAAUUUUAGUCCAGUGGUUUUUGAAUUGAAAUUGCUCAGGCAGAACUUGUUUCUGAAAUAUUUAUAAUGGCAUCUUAGAGUUUUGCACACAAAUUUCAGCUGUAUCCGGACUGAAGAAAUUUGGGCCUUCCAGUAGGUGGCUCUUCAGUGCCCCUUUGCAACCUACGCUAGGGGAAAAAUAAAAAAAAAAGAAAAGAAGAAAUAACUUACAAGUAGAGAAGUGGGACAGAAGAUUAUAGGUCUCUCUAGUUUCUUUUCAAUAUUUAUUGUUAUAUUUUUUGAAUAUUUUUCCUUUUCUAGGUUUCCUGGACUUAGGCUCCGUCCCUCUCAAUCUCUUCUAGUUCAUCACGAACCCAGUCAGCACUAUCAGAAGGCGUGGCUCAUAUUUACCUCACAGUUUAGAAUUGAUUCUCCUUGCAAACAUUUAAAAAGGAAAAAAAACCAAACAAAGCAAAAUGGUAUUUCACUUUGUCCUGUGUUUCUGUAUUUUAAAUUGAAGUGUUUAGGAAAUUGGGUCUUAAUGAGCUUCUAGUGGAGGUGAGAUAGCGAACUGUUUGUGUAACUACCCAUUAUAUUUGCCUGAAAAUACCUUUUUGGGUGUCACCUGACUCAGUGCUUUGUCAGGUACCUGCUGCUUUGUGAGACUUGACAUGCAAUUUUUGUGAGACUCAGUAAUAGCCAUGACAAGAGAGGCAGAGCAGGAUGAAAAUCAGUUGUGUUCUCGUAAGUGGAGCUCAGUGCCUGCUUUUUUUGCUUGUGAUUUGGGUUGGGAGAAGAAUUGAACAGUUCUGGUGUUUUGUUCAUUGAUGCCUGGUGAAGAGCAGCACAGCACUGCAUCUCCUGGCUGAAGGAGGGCAGCCCUUGGGAGCUGGAGAGAGGUAAGGCACUGGUACACCUUUUCCUUGCUAGCCUUAAUGCAUCUGGCAAUGGUCAAAGUUUUGCUUUUCUAGCUUGUUUUUUCUGAUGCUUUGCCAGUAUUACAGAUGGGACAUAUUAGCAUGUCCUUAACAACAACCACCCCCAAAAGCCCCCAGCACCCACGACAUACAAGCUUAUGAGAAGAUGGAAUUUUUUCACUGAAGCUGUUACUGUGGACGUGGUGGGGAGCUGGGACGGGGCCCCUGAGGGGGCCUGUGUGGAGCCAUUGAGCCUCCUGAGUUGAGGUGACAGUGCUGGAUUGUCACGUCUCAGGGCUGAUAGAGCAGUGUUAGGUCAGGGUGUUCAUGAAGUGUUGCAGCUGUUUGCAGAGUGGCUGUCACUUUGAAAGCAGCACAGUCAUACUUAUCUUGUGCUUGACCUGUGCCUGCAGCCUCUCCUGCUUUGGUCACAAGGUGUCAGGCCCCGUACACCUGUGUCCUUUCCAGUUUCUCUCAAGAGCCUGGUGACAGGGAGGUUUCUGGUCUUGCCAAAACCCAACAAAAAGUGUAGUUUUUCCUGCGGCUUUUCAGCUUAUAUAUGUUUUGCCACAGAGGUCUGUGUUUGUCUCUUGGUACUUCUACUUUAUGUGUGACCCUUUCUCCUUUGGGCUAGGAUCUUUUCCUCUUUUCAUGAUGACUCCUCAGAACUUGGUCUUCCAACCUCCUACCCGCCGUAUGUUUAUAAUAAAUAAAAUAUUUUUGUUCCAUUUGUUCACUUCGGUGGGUUUUGUCCACGAAUAGAACCUCCUGACAUCCCUCAGAGUCUUGGGUAAUAUCUGUGAUGGGGCAGUAGUAGGUGACAUUUGAGGUGUUGCUGUUUGAGGUGAUGCUGCUUCAUUGACUCUUAAUACCUUCCUGUUCUGUUGAGAUCUUCCCAUCUCUGUAGUGCUGCCUUCCUAGCACUGCUGAGUACCAGCUUGGAAGAGUUUCCAGCUUCUAGAGCAGUACCAGCGGUAGCAGAAAGGAUGAGAUCAAGCCUUUUCUGGCUUUGAGGAUUUGCUCUAUUGCCUGAGUCCUUUCUAAUAGAAAUGUCGCUUCUUGUGACCCAAGAGUUUUGGGUCCAGAGGUCAGCUUGGUUUGAGUGAGUUUUAGAGGUUUAGAUCUGCACACUGACAGGAGGAUCCCAUCAGCCAUCACUGCUUCUUGGAACAGUUGGUCACAUCCAUUUGAGGCAAGUGAUUUUCUUCUGGGUUCUUUGAUCUCUGGUCUCUGGCCUAUGCUGGAUCAUGAGCCUGGCUUAGCUUAUGUCUCUUGAUCUCUUUAGGGUUCAGGAAAUGAAGAUUUCUUUGGCUUCAUUCCUAUUUUAGGGAAAUAGGAUGUUGUGAUCACUGCUCUUGAAUCUUAAAAUCUGUAGAUUCUCUGAAAUUGGUGGGGUUUUGUAUUCAUGGCUUUUGGCCAUUAGUCUUAGAAGAUGCUCUCAGGGAGAGCACUGCCUCCUGCAAUGGCACCUUCUUGGUGACAUCUUGACAGGUAUCAUCACUUAUACUUGCGUAGGCAACACAAAAUCUUGCAGGCUGCCUGUUUGUCAUUCAUGGGAGUACAUCAGUCAUUUAGGAAUUUACAUCCUUGCCUGUUCCUAGUGGAUUUGUCUUAAAAAAAGUGUGAGUAAAUGCCAGUUAAUGUCACUGCUCCACAACAUUAUGAAAUGCCUAAGUGACUGUUGUGUUUUAUUUCAUCUGCAGAAUGUUCAGGUUGAUCCAUCUUUGAACAGUUUCUCUCUCCUUAAUGGGCAGUUUGGAAAAAUUAAUGAUCUGUUCCAGAGUAGCUGGGAUUUCUUUUUAUUCUGCAUUCUCAAGAGAAGCAUCCAACACAUGGCAAGAGGAACAGAGUUAAAAAGAAGAAAGAUUUGCUGCUAGAGUCAAGAAACUUGGAUAUUUAUUACUUAGCACGGACCAACCCUCCAAACUGGUAUUCAAAGACUGAGGUGUAGAAACAGCUGAAAUCAGCUCUGGCAGUACAUCACAUUUCUUUUAGUGAACUGAAGCAGCAGCUCAGAUGAUGAAGGAUAGACACUGCGAUGGGCACUAAAGCACGGACUUGCAGUGUGCACUCUGAUGGCAGGUACUCCUGUCUGCUCCUGGUGGUCUGACAUAUCUGGGGAAGGCUUAGGCGCUUGCGUGUCUUAACUGUGGUUUUCUCCAUUUAUUAAUUUCAGUGUUGAUUGAAAUGUUUGUCUUUAUUUAUAGCAUAUCCAAGAGCUGUGUUGCAACAGAGAAGGUAAGUUUACAGGUGGGGGCCAGGGGAGGAAUGAGUUGACAGCCAAGCUCUGGAUAGUUAAUCUGUUCUGGGGGUUUUUAUGAUAUAAUCCUUGAAGUUUUAUGGACAGCUGUCAAAUUGAUCAGGCAGCUGCUGAAACCACUACAAAAACAAUUUGAGAAUUAGAUUUUUAACUGUUCCUGAAGUAUUUAUUUAUCCUUCAAGAUGAAGACAGUUGCAAAGUCACCAAUCUGUUCAGUGAGAUAUUUUUCCUGUUCAUUUUCCUGAUUGAGAAUUACUGUUAGUGUACCACUUGUUACUAGAAACUAUUGAGCUGGUCAUGCUCAUUUUUCUCUGUGGUGAGCUUGUGCUCUCCUGCUGUGAGCUCAUGCUCUCCUCUCUGUGAUGGGGGAGUGCUGGUUGCUGUUAGCUGUGCUCUAAAGACAAGAAUUCCUGGUUAGGUCAAGUUUAGGUCGUGUUCGUUCUGAAGCCUAAUAAAAGCAUUAGCUAUUAUAUAUCUUGGUUCUCUGGUUUGGGUUAUAAAGGACUUGCCUGCGAAUGCACGUGGGUUACCUUGUUUUGACGGGUCAUUAAGUCUGGGUUUCUUCCUUAGGUAACCAAGCAAACAGUCUCAGAUAUGCUUUGCUAGGCAGAACCAUGUGUAGACAGCAAGGUUUUAUUAUCCCUGGGGAAAAAUGUACUACAAGGGCAUGAAACCUAAAUUACCUUGAAUGAAAUAUCUUAAUGCCCCAACUUGGAGAAUGAUGUAGACAAUCCUGGAUAUGAAUUUUGUUUUAACCAUCAUUAAAGUUCUGUGUACAAUCUGUACUUCUGCAGGAAUAUGAAACAUCCCAGGGAUUGGCUGGCUGCCUGAAGAACCCUGGCACCUGCCUGUUGUGGCAAGGGACCUGAGCAGUGACGUGCCCACAGUAGCAGUUCAGGUGGGUGUGUUACCUGUAUUUGAAGCCUUUUCUAGUUCUCUGCAUUGUACCAGAAACUGCACGUGCCUUGUACAAUCUGUUUGGUCCUCUUGUAAUGUCCAGUUUUCCUAAUAAACAUCUUUAGAAGUC